rnacentral:rRNA from 1 species
UGCUUAACACAUGCAAGUCGAACGGCAGCACGACUAGCUUGCUAGUUGGUGGCGAGUGGCGGACGGGUGAGUAACGCGUAGGAAUAUACCUUAAAGAGGGGGAUAACUUGGGGAAACUCAAGCUAAUACCGCGUAAUAUCUGAGGAUAAAAGCUGGGGACCUUAGGGCCUGGCGCUUUAGGAAUAGCCUGCGUCCGAUUAGCUAGUUGGUGGGGUAAGGGCCCACCAAGGCGACGAUCGGUAGCUGGUCUGAGAGGAUGAUCAGCCGCACUGGGACUGAGACACGGCCCAGACUCCUACGGGAGGCAGCAGUGGGGAAUAUUGGACAAUGGGGGGAACCCUGAUCCAGCAAUGCCGCGUGUGUGAAGAAGGCCUGAGGGUUGUAAAGCAC